rnacentral:rRNA from 1 species
UACGGAGGGGGCAAGCGUUGUUCGGAAUUACUGGGCGUAAAGGGCUCGUAGGCGGCCAACUAAGUCAGACGUGAAAUCCCCAGGCUCAACCUGGGAACUGCGUCUGAUACUGGAUGGCUUGAAUCCGGGAGAGGGAUGCAGAAUUCCAGGUGUAGCGGUGAAAUGCGUAGAUAUCUGGAGGAAUACCGGUGGCGAAGGCGGCAUCCUGGACCGGCAUUGACGCUGAGGAGCGAAAGCUAGGGGAGCAAACGGG